UACGUAGGUGGCAAGCGUUGUCCGGAUUUAUUGGGUUUAAAGGGUGCGUAGGCGGCUUAUUAAGUCAGUGGUGAAAUACUCUAACUCAACUAGAGGGGUGCCAUUGAUGCUGAUGAGCUUGAGUACAGAUGAGGUAGGCGGAAUUGACGGUGUAGCGGUGAAAUGCUUAGAUAUCGUCAAGAACACCUAUAGCGAAGGCAGCUUACUAGGCUGUAACUGACGCUGAGGCACGAAAGUGUGGGGAUCAAACAGG
rnacentral:rRNA from 1 species